CCUGUUAUUAAAAUUUCUACUUUGAUGUAAAAAAAAAACAACCCUACGCUGCAGUUCUACAUGAGAGCAGCUCUGCAGAUUUGUGACACAAAUUCCCCUGCUCAUCAAUCCCACUUUACAUGUCAGCUCUAUUGUAAUUAAUGUGUUUUUUUGCAAUGCCUUCGAACAUAAGCGGCGGUAAUUGACUUAACUCUCCCUCCCUCUCUCUCCCUCUCCCCCUGUCUCGCUCGCUCCCUCGCUCUGACUAAUGAAGCGCAUGCGAGCGAGCUGGGGGGGAUCGAUGCCGGGUGAAAUAUGAAAGCUAGUCGGUCCACACGCACGAUUCAUUUCACAACGGAAAUUAAUUAUCAGUGUUAUUUUUGGAGGAGCAGAGUGGCAAUGAGUGAUUUCACAGAGGCAGGGAGCGGCGCAUGGUCACAAGUCGAAGAGUCUGUGCGCGGACGUCGCCAUUUCAGACUUCGUGGACCACGAGGCACCCGCACUGAAUGUGCACGGACUGCGGUCGAAAACGCGGCGUUGGCCUGACGGAUGAAGAGACCACAGUGGUGGGUGGUCCAAGAGGCCGUGGUUUCACUGAGGAAUCUCCCUUAAGACGUUCUGGAUUUAUCACUGUCCGAGGCAGCCGCGGCAAACCCACACGCAGACGCAAAUGGGCGGAGGCCUCUCGGAUUCCUCUCUUGCACCCGUGCCAGAUCCGCCAAGGGUGGCAGCACCCAGAGCCGGGCUCGGCGCCAACCCACCCGGGACCUUUUGUGACCCGAGAUCCACGCAGCAGGGGAUCGUGCGUCCCAACAAGGGGACACUUCUUCGCAGUAGCCUACUUACCCCUCCUUCUGUCGGGUUGGCGACCCAUCCCAGCUCCCCCUGCACGGAUCUGGAGUCCAAUAACGUGACUGGAAAACAAGAAUGGGAGAGGUUUCUUCAACCGCCCCCACGAGAUGUGUCCAUCGCAGUGGCCCGCAGGCAACCUCCGGAUGAUCCGCGGAGGACACUGUCAUUGUGUGAUCAGGCCGAGCUGUGGGCGAUUCCUCCGGGCGCAGCGAGGAGAGAAGGAAAGAAAAACCAACCGCUGCCACAACUCGUCCAUCAUGACGCCAGAACAUGAUAUGCCCCGACUCUCAGUCUGUCUCACCUGCUCCUCCUCGUCUUCCGCUGUUGCUGUCCGCGGCCAGGUCUGAAUUUUCAGCUAUCAAUAGGAUGCUUCCCUGCAGGAGACGAGACGGAAAGGAGGUAGAGGCGGAAAGCAACAGGGACAAGGAGAAGGAUCUGCCAAGACACAUCCAGCACAUCUCGGGCUGCUCAAACCCCGGUGAAGUACCUUUUUACCUGAUGCCAUCUAAACCCCACACUCCCUUAUUAGCCCGCCAGCCUAUAGAUGAAAACAGCGAGACCCUUUCCGAAAAAAAAAGAGGGGAGGAAAAAAAAACAAAACUACAAAGCAAAAAGGUCUUUUUGAGUCUGGCGCCGGGACGCCAUCAUGGGCGCAUCGCCGUGCUCCUCGUCGACAUCAAACGGUUGGCAGAGGGCUUGCCAACCAGCUGGUGCAGAUGGCCGGACUCAGACGGGACAUUCUAAUGAGGAGGAGGUCGGGCAUUAGUAGUCUGGGCAGGGGUUCAGUGCCCAGGAGACCGCGGCAACACACACAUACAUGCUGCAGCUCGGAGCAUCCGCAUGCAGAUUUCCAUACACGUCGACGACGAGGGUCCUUGAAGCUGUUCUGGAGUCUUGUGGUGGUGGAGAAACACACUGACCCAGCCGGUGUUGAGCCAAGGGCCCAUCUGGCUCCUAUGAGGGCCACUGCUUCACGGUGCCUCAGCCUGAUUCAUGGGCGCUGGACAGCCUCAGCUGCUAUCCCACCACCGUUUUACAUCCCAUACUGUACCUCUCCAAAAAAAACGCUGUACCUCCCAGUUCCGACCGACAACUCUCCCACUGACAGACGAGCUCUGCAGAGAGGAAUCCUUCAGAAAAAAGCUUUCACACUAACCAACAUGACGUAACCACAAAUUCGGGGCUGCCAGUUUGUCCUCAGACUCCCGGCCAAACCUCACUGCACUGGGUCGUGUAACUCCAAAGGCGAUUCUGUUGCACAAGCCGGAGCCAUGUGGCACUCAUAAAGUCUCAGAUAUGCACUCACAGGAGCACAUGGUUUUACCAAAAUGUCCAAAUGAUCUUUCACUUGUUAGAUCAUAAUAAUAAUCUUCCCAUAAGGCAUUGCAUUUGGCUCAGAAUUCCCCAGAAAGCCCUUGUUUUUCUAAUUUAAAGACUGUUACAUACUUGAGGUUUGUUUUGCAUCUUUUUAUAAAUGCAUUUCAGAUGAGUCACAUGCUCAUCUCUCAUAAAAAAUACAACAGUGCAAGUCAUGAAGGGACUUCAUGACCCCCCCCCACACACACAAUUGUCAUAAUUAUGGACAGACACUGGCCUGAAUUUGGCUGCAGGCAGCUUUCAGCAAAACUAAUAACAGUUUAAUUCUGUAGCUCACGCGGGGAAAGAGACUUGACACUGUUUUGAAAAUACAA